rnacentral:rRNA from 1 species
GACGUAGGGCGCGAGCGUUGUCCGGAUUUAUUGGGCGUAAAGAGCUCGUAGGCGGCUUGUUGCGUCAGCUGUGAAAACCCGCAGCUCAACUGUGGGCUUGCAGCUGAUACGGGCAGGCUUGAGUUCGGUAGGGGAGACUGGAAUUCCUGGUGUAGCGGUGAAAUGCGCAGAUAUCAUUUGGAACGCCAAUGGUGAAAACAACUCGCUGGGGAAGUGCUGACGCUGAGACACGAAAGCCAGGGGAGCAAACGGG